rnacentral:rRNA from 1 species
GAUGAACGCUGGCGGCGUGCCUAAUACAUGCAAGUCGAGCGAACAGACGAGGAGCUUGCUCCUCUGACGUUAGCGGCGGACGGGUGAGUAACACGUGGAUAACCUACCUAUAAGACUGGGAUAACUUCGGGAAACCGGGGCUAAUACCGGAUAAUAUAUUGAACCGCAUGGUUCAAUAGUGAAAGACGGUUUUGCUGUCACUUAUAGAUGGAUCCGCGCCGCAUUAGCUAGUUGGUAAGGUAACGGCUUACCAAGGCAACGAUGCGUAGCCGACCUGAGAGGGUGAUCGGCCACACGGGAACUGAGACACGGUCCAGACUCCUACGGGAGGCAGCAGUAGGGAAUCUGCCGCAAUGGGCGAAAGCCUGACGGAGCAACGCCGCGUGAGUGAUGAAGGUCUUCGGAUCGUAAAACUCUGUUAUUAGGGAAGAACAAAUGUGUAAGUAACUAUGCACGUCUUGACGGUACCUAAUCAGAAAGCCACGGCUAACUACGUG